rnacentral:misc_RNA from 1 species
GAUGAAGAACGCAGCGAAAUGCGAUACGUAAUGUGAAUUGCAGAAUUCAGUGAAUCAUCGAGUCUUUGAACGCACAUUGCGCCCCCUGGUAUUCCGGGGGGCAUGCCUGUCCGAGCGUCAUUGCUGCCCUCAAGCACGGCUUGUGUGUUGGGCCUCCGUCCUCCUCCCGGGGGACGGGCCCGAAAGGCAGCGGCGGCACCGCGUCCGGUCCUCGAGCGUAUGGGGCUUCGUCACCCGCUCUUGUAGGCCCGGCCGGCGCUUGCCGACACAUCAAUCUUUUUUCCAGGUUGACCUCGGAUCAGGUAGGGAUACCCGCUGAACUUGAGCAUAUCAAUAAGCGGAGGA